rnacentral:rRNA from 1 species
AACGAACGCUGGCGGCAUGCCUAAUACAUGCAAGUCGAACGAGAUCUUCGGAUCUAGUGGCGCACGGGUGCGUAACGCGUGGGAAUCUGCCCUUGGGUUCGGAAUAACUUCGGGAAACUGAAGCUAAUACCGGAUGAUGACGUAAGUCCAAAGAUUUAUCGCCCAAGGAUGAGCCCGCGUAGGAUUAGCUAGUUGGUGGGGUAAAGGCCUACCAAGGCGACGAUCCUUAGCUGGUCUGAGAGGAUGAUCAGCCACACUGGGACUGAGACACGGCCCAGACUCCUACGGGAGGCAGCAGUAGGGAAUAUUGGACAAUGGGGGCAACCUUGAUCCAGCAAUGCCGCGUGAGCGAUGAAGGCCUUAGGGUUGUAAAGCUCUUUUACCCGAGAUGAUAAUGACAGUAUCGGGAGAAUAAGCCCCGGCUAACUCCGUGCCAGCCGCCGCCGUAA